CCCCCAGUGGCCUAAUAGACAAAGGCACCUGGCCCUCCUAAGCCAGGGAUUGUGGGGUUCGAGUCCCAUCUGGGGGU
rnacentral:tRNA from 1 species